AACGAACGCUGGCGGCAUGCCUAACACAUGCAAGUCGAACGAGACCUUCGGGUCUAGUGGCGCACGGGUGCGUAACGCGUGGGAACCUGCCCUUAGGUUCGGAAUAACUCCCCGAAAGGGGUGCUAAUACCGGAUAAUGUCUUCGAACAAAGGAUUUAUCGCCUUUGGAUGGGCCCGCGUUGGAUUAGCUAGUUGGUAGGGUAAAAGCCUACCAAGGCGACGAUCCAUAGCUGGUCUGAGAGGAUGAUCAGCCACACUGGGACUGAGACACGGCCCAGACUCCUACGGGAGGCAGCAGUGGGGAAUAUUGGACAAUGGGCGAAAGCCUGAUCCAGCAAUGCCGCGUGAGUGAUGAAGGCCUUAGGGUUGUAAAGCUCUUUUACCCGGGAUGAUAAUGACGGUACCGGGAGAAUAAGCUCCGGCUAACUCCGUG
rnacentral:rRNA from 1 species